UACGUAGGGUGCAAGCGUUUGUCCGGAAUUAUUGGGCGUAAAGAGCUCGUAGGCGGUUCUCGCGUCUGCUGUGAAAACUAGGCUACCACUGGCUUGCAGUGGGUACGGGCAGACUAGAGUGCGGUAGGGGGAGACUGGAAUUCCUGGUGUAGCGGUGAAAUGCGCAGAUAUCAGGAGGAACACCGGUGGCGAAGGCGGGGUCUCUGGGCCG
rnacentral:rRNA from 1 species